ACUUGUAGAAAAUUUCAACAAGAGAAACUAUUGCAUCUCUCUCUAAGAAGGACUGGAAUUUUACAACAGUAUAUUAGUCUCCUGAAAGUUUCAGCUUUUAACUAUCUAAAGCCUUGUAAUACAACUAUAACUUAAAAUAAGAAU